AGAUCAGAACCUUUGGGCAUUUCUGUAGGUAUGAUUGCCUUAAAGCUCUUCAUAUCUACUGCAUAUAUUGCAAGUCCUCUCAAUUUGUUCUUGGCAUGUCUACGCAAGUUAAUCCUUGAGUUAUCAUUUUCUUUUUUAAAACCUACCCGAAAGUUUGCUAUCCAAGGCAGAGUUUGUAUCAGCAAUACACAUGCAUAUAUUCUAUUCAGUUUCAACACUUUCUGGAUUCCUCUGAUUGUAUUGCUAUUCUGAUGUGCAUUGUAGCUAUUUAAUUUCUUUGGGAUACCCAGACAUUCAUGCGUGUAGUAAGUAAUUCCACUUGAAUGCUGCAGGUGUCAUAUAGCCUCACAAUCACAGAGUUCCUUGGGGAAGUUCAUCGAGUCCUUAGCAUUUUCUUCCAGAUUAUGGGUAUUGCUGGUUGCCUCAUAUUUCCGGAAAAAGUUUGCUGGUAUCUUAUCUGAGAAGGAAAUUUUGGGCUCAAAACAUGUGCUACCAGAAGGGAGGAUUAGUUGAGAAGUAUGCUAGUUCACAGAUGCCUUUGUCAAAGCAUCAUACUCGGCCGGGAGUAUUCAUGGAAUUUUGCAAGCAUGAUUCCUGUGCCUGUGGUUGUGAGCCAUACAUAGAUAAUCUGACUCUGGUCGGAAUUACUUGGUGUUGUCCGAUGAUGCAAAGAAGUAUGAACUGUCUACAAAGCUUCUGGAAUUCAUUUUCAACUUCACAAUUAUUGAAAGCUGUUAUAUUGUUCAAGGGAAAAGAUGCUUACAGUCAAGGAGUCAUUGAUGUAGUUCGAGUAGAAGAUCCAAGAUGAAGUAGAACGAUUAGCAUGCAGAUUUCUUAUUUCUGGUAUUUAGUUUGAAUGCGAUGAAAACCUUCAAUGCUGAAACUGGUAGGGUUAACAAACUGCCUAAAGUGAAAUCGCUUCCGGGCGUACCUAAACAACCAGGUGGAGUUGAGUGUGGCUAUUAUGUUAUGCGAUACAUGAAAGAGAUAAUAGAGGAUGAGACACUUUCAUUUCCUACCAAGUGGGCGGUAAAGACGCGGAAGUCAUAUAACCAAAAUCAAAUUGACGAGGUGCGCAUUGAAGUGGCUGAUUAUAUACAGAGUUUGAUGUAGGACUGUGACUGCCAAGAUGUUUUAUGAGUAAGGCUAGCUAGUUUUGGCUUUGAAGCAAAGCUUGGUGUGGAACUUUUGUACAUUGUUGCUUAUAUUUUUCCAAGCUUUGUUUUGUAAGUUUAGGGGUUUAUUUUGGCCCAUUAUGUUGAAUCAUGAAUUUGGAAAGAACAUUAAUGGAAAGCCCUUAAUUUUGGAUGAUGAGAAA